CAGAGCAUAGCUAAACAACGAAUAGCCCCUCCCUUACACCGAGAAGUUAUCCGUGCAACCCGGAUUGCCCUGA
rnacentral:tRNA from 1 species